rnacentral:rRNA from 11 species
UUAAAUUGAAGAGUUUGAUCAUGGCUCAGAUUGAACGCUGGCGGCAGGCCUAACACAUGCAAGUCGAACGGUAGCACAGAGAGCUUGCUC